GACGCACCGUGCGAAUGUUGUUCGGAAUCACUGGGCUUAAAGGGAGCGUAGGCGGGCUAUCAAGUCUGGGGUGAAAUGCCGCGGCUCAACCGUGGAACUGCCUUAGAUACUGACGGCCUCGAGGGAGAUAGGGGCAUGCGGAACUGUAGGUGGAGCGGUGAAAUGCGUUGAUAUCUACAGGAACUCCGGUGGCGAAAGCGGCGUGCUGGAUCUCUUCUGACGCUGAGGCUCGAAAGCUAGGGGAGCAAACGGG
rnacentral:rRNA from 1 species